rnacentral:misc_RNA from 1 species
AAUUAAUGUGUGUAUAUACACAUACUGCAGAAACUUCCGAGUUUAAGGCUCAGAUCUGUAUAAUCAGAGCAAAGGAGACAAUGCAUCCGCCAUGGCUGCAGACCUCGGUUUCACUGCCAAAAUGUCUACCGGGUUGCCCCGCCAAGAUACGGACCCUGCUCCUUUGACCCUAUGAACUCUAGACACCUUAAUCAUCAUAGCCUAUCUUCCCUUCCAUUACAACAACAAAAAUAAUAAUAAUAAUAAU